rnacentral:tRNA from 1 species
GGAGGGAUGGCCGAGUGGUUGAAGGCGGCGGUCUUGAAAACCGUUGUUCCGUUUGCGCGGAACCGUGGGUUCGAAUCCUACUCCCUCCGCCA